rnacentral:rRNA from 1 species
GGGGGGGGGGCAAGCGUUGUUCGGAAUUACUGGGCGUAAAGGGCGCGCAGGCGGCCCGGCCAGUCCUUUGUGAAAUCCCACAGCUCAACUGUGGAACUGCAGGGGAUACUGCCAGGCUUGAGUCCGGGCGAGGGGAGUGGAAUUCCCAGUGUAGCGGUGAAAUGCGUAGAUAUUGGGAGGAACACCGGUGGCGAAGGCGGCUCCCUGGACCGGUACUGACGCUGAGGCGCGAAAGCUAGGGGAGCAAACGGGAUUAGAUACCCCGGGUAGUCCUAGCUGUAAACGUUGAGCACUUGGUGUGGCGGGUAUCGACCCCCCUGCUGUGCCGAAGCUAACGCAUUAAGUGCUCCGCCUGGGGGUAGUACGGUCGCAAGGCUG